CUUCCUAUCGCGCAUAAUUGAGUAGGAGUACUCUUCGUGCUGCUAUUCAUGCCCUAAGUAUUCCCCCUGGGGAGUCCGCACGCAUGUGUGAAACUCAAAGGAAUUGACGGGGGCCCGCACAAGCGGUGGAGUAUGUUGUUUAAUUCGAAGCAACGCGAAGAACCUUACCAGGUCUUGACAUGGCUCUAAAAGCCCUAUACAUAGGGUGCUAGUUAUAGAGCACACAGGUGGUGCAUGGUUGUCGUCAGCUCGUGUCGUGAGAUGUUGGGCUAAGUCCCGCAACGAGCGCAACCCUUGUCGUUAGUUACCAUCAUUAAGUUGGGGACUCUAGCGAGACUGCCGGUGACAAACCGGAGGAAGGUGGGGAUGACGUCCAAUCAUCAUGCCCCUUAUGACCUGGGCUACAAACGUACUACAAUGGCGAGAACAACGGGAAGCGAUGUGGUGACACACACCGUAUCUCUGAAAACUCGUCUCAGUUCGGAUCGAAGUCUGCUACUCGACUUCUUGAAGUUGGAAUCGCUAGUAAUCGCGGAUCAUCAUGCCGCGGUGAAUAUGUUCUCAGGCCUUGUACACCCCGCCCGUCAAACCAUGAGAGUUGGUAAUACCCGAAGCCAGUGGCCUAACCUGUAAGGGAGGGAGCUGUCUAAUGUACGAUCGAUGAUUGGUGUUAAGUCCUAAUCAGGUAU
rnacentral:rRNA from 1 species